GGCACUUGUCCUAUAGCUAAUGGCAGGAGUUGGAUCUCUGGAACCCACGUAAAACUGGAAAGACAAAACUGACUGCACAGGUUGUCUGUCCUCCUACCUCCACAUGAGCUCCAUGGCAAGUUCAUAGGAUAAAACAGGAAGUUCAGCUCCUUUUUUUUUUUUUUCUUUUCUUUUUUUUCGGAGCUGGGAACCGAACCCAGGGCCUUGCACUUGCUAGGCAAGCGCUCUACCACUGAGCUAAAUCCCCAACCCCAGAAGUUCAGCUCCUUAUCACACCUCAUUUCCUGUUCUCAGCAGCCACACAGUGCUUCUGCAGCAGUCAACAGGGCCACGUUCCUUCCGUUCCAGAAAGUUCCACUGGUUGGUAUUUGCGGGAUGAUGUCACAGGUGAAGGCAGGUACAAGAUAGAAGGAGGCCUGUCAUUGGACAAGAAGGAAGGAUGGGCGGGAGAAAAGUUUGAAGGAGGAGGAGGAGACUGGAACAGAAAGGAGGAAGAGACAGGAGGGAGAGGGAGAGAAGCCGUGCAGGACAAUAUGGCGGGUGAUGUUAAGAUUCCACGCUGUACCUUUACAGGAGCAACUUUGAUCUACUUCAUGAGCCCAAGAUUUUAGUGACUGUCGGGCAUGGAACAAAAUGGCAACAGCUAUACUAGCAGGGCAGGCAUCAACAGCCUGGAGCUGCCUUCUCUCCAUGUGAAGGGGGCCAGCUGUGUGCCUCUGACUUGAGGCUGCUGUUGCUGCUGGGAAUGAUAAAUCUGGCUCUAGUGCUCGUGGAGCCUGCCUUGAGCCCUGCCUAAGCCUGGGCUGCUGAUGAAAACGAUGAGCCUGGUGGGCACGAGCACGAGGUCAGACGUACGGGCUCUGCAUUAGGUGAUGAGCAGCUGUGAUCGGCCUCCUAAAGCCAACAUUGUUUUUCAGAUAAAGACCACUACAUCAAUUCUAUGAACAAGAUGGGAGAUCAAUAUAUAGAGGUACAUAUUUAAAUGACGAGUAACAGACAAAUGCGUAAGUGAUGACUCAAUAGGUGGGGUACGCCCCCCCCCGCCUGUCUACCAUAUGUUGCCUCUGUGAAGGUUCAAGGUCACUUUAUUUCAUAUUCCUGCCUCUCUGCAAAGAAUAAUUACAGGGCUGACGAGAUGGCUCAGCGGUUAAGAACACUGACUGCUCUUCCACAGGUCCUGAGUUCAAUUCCCAGCGACCACAUGGUGGCUCACAACCAUCUGUAAUGAGAUCUGGUGCCCUCUUCUGGCCUGCAGUCACAUAUGCAGGCAGAAUGCUGUAUAUAAAAUAAAUAAUCAAAAAAAAAAGAAUAAUUACAGAAGUAAUUUCAUCGGGCUACUGUGAGGUUUAAGCAGGGAAUCUACACAAAGACUACUUUUGUCCCCUCCCACACAGUAAGGCCAAGGCCGAUGGGCUCUGUGUUUCCAUUGCUGCUGUUCAGUUAUCGUGCUUGUUUCUAGUUGCCCGGCACUAUUGUAUAAUGAUCUGCUCCCACCUCUUGUCCCCUAUGCCUCACCUUCCUUCACAGUUCUGCUUGGCUCCUCUAGACAUUGCAGGAUUUGUCUUCCCCGUGCUAAGGACCUCUGAAAUAGCUGUGUAUUUCUAAUCUGCUUCCGCAAGCAUCCACUUCUUUACAAAGAGUAGCCAGUGAGUGCCUGUGACAAUUUCCAGGAGCUCACGUUCUGAGCAUGUGACAAUUUCAUCUGCGCACUCCCCAAACUAGCCUCUCCUUUCCUCUGUGCCUUAGCUUGGUUCUCUCCUGAGCCCAUCUUAAGACAAGACUCUAGGGAGAAAAGUGAUCUGUUUACAAUGUGAUCCAGGCUGAGGCAGAGGGAUGAGGGAAGGGAAGUGGGACAGGAAAGGGCAGGGAGAUGCCAAUAAAGGGAAUGGUACAUAUACGUGACUUUAGGGAGAAUGGGGAACCUUUGGAGACUGUAGCAUGUACCUCAGGACUUUCCCAGGCCAGGGAGGUGGGGUAUUCACCCAGCAACUCCUGUCACUCAUUGAUCAGCUUUGUUCCCUAGGGUCUUACAGUACCUCUGACAUUCCAGCACUUGUGGCAAAUCCCACAUCCCUGAGGUACACACAGGAACCGUCCAACAUAGCAGGGGAGGGAAGCUAGGGGUAUGUACACACAGGAACCGUCCACAGAGGAGUCUGCCACAGACAACCGAGGGGUAUGGAUGUAUAUCUAGUUGAAGCUUAUCUGGAUUUUAUUUUAGGUGAAACAGAGUUUCGAGAAGCUAUGGAUGGAUUCAUCCACAAAUCCAGAAUCCUGGAAAGACCAAAGGGCCACAAUUCUAGCCUUGAAGAAUAGCAGGCCACAGCCAAAGUGCCUCUCCGCUACCUGCAAGGCACACAUAGCCUGCUGCACACACAUGUGGGAGGGAUGGGACGAGUACUGCAGACACUCGUGCUGGCUGGCAAGUUUGGCUUCCCUCUACAUGACAGCUCUGGGGUUUGACUGCAUUGCCCGGGGUAUGCUGACAGCCAGGGGUUUGCAGGCUCCCUCCUCAGCAUCCACACAGCCCUUUCAGCUGCCUGGCCUAGGGGGAACAAGUCCCUGGACCUGGCUUUGGAAGCAUUAUGGCUUGGUCACCAGAGGAAUCAUUUCCAGUUGGCUCUACAUAGGGAACCUGACACUCUAUGUUUUCUGUUUUUGCUCCCCUUUUGAUACGGCUGCCUUUUACCUCCCAUUAAGCAAAAGCUCCCCUUCAAACCAUGAGCUGCUGAAAGAUGACCGGGUGCGUGUUUAUACCUUUGGAAGGGACCUAAGCCAACUGAAGGACAAGCCUGUCCUUCCGCAGCAGGACCCUGAGCAGCCUGAGUCUCACAUCUCUGUCAUCUCGCUCUUCUCGGGUGUGAUCCUGGCAAAAACUGGAGAGCAGUGGGUCGCAUGGGGUGUGGUGUUCUAGAGGCUGUGGUGUUGGUAAGUGUUCUUAGAAGCAUUGGUCUCCCCACUGAGCCACUGUGUGCAUUUUCAGCACCAUUCAUGAAGAACAUGCUCUGCGUGAAGGCAGACUUGACGAGUAAAAGCUUGGAGAUUUGGGGACGUGGGGGCCCCACAGUUAUGCCCUGGAAGGUCAGGCAGGCAUGUGCGUGCUGCACAGCAUCUACAGGAGUCCUGUGUUUCCACUGAACUGUAGAGCAGGGAUGAGGGGAGAUGAGAGAUGGUAAGGACAUGGGGGAGAGGUCAGGGCACCCCUCUCGCAGCUGUUAAGUGCCCUUGCCAUCUCACCAUGCCUUUCAUACCCGUUUGUGUCGGGUCUUUAUUAGACUGGAAAUAGCUGAACUUUGGUCCUUUGAUGUCUGACAGCCCUGUAAUGUCACCGUAGGUAGAUCAAUGGCGAUGGUGACAGAAACCAAUUAGCAACGCCCUGGCUCUUAUGAUUGCACCUACAGGUUCCUAGCUGGGAAGAGUCUGGGACAUGGGGCCCUGUGAGUGGGACUCCAACGAGGCUGCAUCAUUUCUUUGCCAAAUUCAGAGGUUCCCAAAGUUAAAGUCAUCACUGGCAGAGUCCAGUUCAGUCCCUGUCAGGGCAGAAGGGAGGGGACUGGGAAGUGUGGCAGUGUGUGGGAGACGCAAAUCAAAGACCCACUUCCCCGUUCCUUUGCACAGACCUUCCCUGGAUACCACUUUUUUUCUUCAGGGACUUAACUGAAAUGAAAUCUUUGCCUUUUAGGGCAUUAGAGCAUCCCUGUCUCCUCUCUGAGCCCUGGGGGAAUGGGACCAGGGGGCUGGGACGUUUCUUGUGGCUUCCAUCUUGGAUUUCAAGAGCCCCCAGGCUCUCAAAAGCUUAGGAACGCUGAAAGAGAGGAACCGAGUUUUGCAGGCUAUGAAUGGGCUUGCUAUGGAGCCUCGCUCCUCUAAUGUAGUGUAGCCUCGUUCCGCUCCACUUCCAAAUCCGUUCUUGCUGGGUAUGGUGGGGCGUACCUCUAACCCCAGCACUUGGAAGGCAAGGGCAAGACAAUUUUUGUGAGUUCAAAGCCAGCCUGAUCCAAGAUCCAAGACAGGCAGGGUUACCUAGAGACCCUGUCUAAAACAACGAAAGGCCAGCUUUUUCAUCCCUAGAUUAUCUGACCCUCAGGUAUCUUGAGCGAGGCACCUGACAAGUGAGUUAUGUCUUAUUUAACUUCCCUUUAACUCUACCCUUUUAUCACGCCAGUGAAGGAAGACUGGCCGGGAAGCAUUUAUGGAAUUCACAGUACAUUGCGAUAAGUGGUUUAGUUGAAAAUGGAAAAAAGAAACAUUCUAGCAACUCCUGCCAGCAGGAUGGUUGGGCUUAACUGAGGAAAGGGAAGUGCUCGCAUCUGGAAAGGCUGAAAAAGCAGAGCCUGCCAUCUGGGGGUGCGUUCAGUGCUCACCCCACCCCCACCCCGGGUAGGACAUCUCUUACCGCAUUCCAGAUGAAGAUUCCAGAGCUGGCUUGACUCUCUCAGGGACGUUCAGGACCUAGAGCUUCUCUGCCUGAUGAUGUUAGCAUGGCGCCUUGGUCUCCGUUUGCUGAUUGCUAGGUGGGACGACGACAGUGGUACUGCCCCAUCAGGAAGGUCUUGAGGUUUCUCCUGUAGGCAGGGCUCCCGGGACAGUGUUUGUAAAGCCUUUGCAUGUUAACUCCUGUCCUUGGCCACCACCGUCAUGACUGGAUUUCAGCUGUGACUUUAGUUUUCUCAUGACUGCUGUGAUACAGCGGUGGAGUAUGGGGUGGGCAGCAAGAUACAGGGGCCUCUGGGUUUCCCGACUCGUCCCCAGUGCCAUCAAGUGUUAUUUACACUUGUCCCCAUUAUGCAGAUAACCUUGGCGUUGGUCGGUGCUGUGACAUUGGGACCAUAGACAUUAAGAAACCACUGCCCAGGAGGACGCACAGGCCUCUGAUAGUGUCAUCAACCUGGGAGCCAGGAUCAAUGGCCCCCUCACUGGGGGCAACACCACACACAGGGCCCAUCUUAGACAUUUAUCCAAUAGGUGUUUCCAUGCCAAAACAGAGCAGCUUACGGAACCAGAAAGCCAGGUUGAGCACAUUACUUAGCAGCGAUAGGUUAACUUGCUUUCUAUCGCAGCAAUAAAGACCGUGACAAAACACAGCUCAGAGGAGAGGGCUCAUCUCUUGGAACAGCUUACAGUCUGUCACCCAUGGAAGCCAAGGCAGGAACCUGGAGGCAGGGGCUAGAGCAGUGACCUGUAGGAGCCCUGCCUGCCGGCAGGCUUGCUAGUAUAACUUGCUCGAUUUGCUUUUUUAAACAACUCAGGACCACCUGACCAGCAAGGCCUUGCACAUCCAUCCUUAGGAAUUUAAAGGCCAAUCUAAUCCCCAGAUGACUCCAACGUAUGUCAAGUUGACAAAACCCCCAACCAGUACAAGUGGCUUCCCUUUUUAAAGUCUAAGCAUUGUAAUUCUUCACACCCUUAAUUUAGAGCUAAUUCUCAGCGUAUAAUUAGCCCACACUUUACACUGUACCGCUGCGGCAUCUUUCUACUCUUGUGAGCACUUCUCGCUGGGGGCCAGGGUCGGGGAAUUAAGCUCUGGACCACAGCCCAGCACUGGGUGAUGUCCUUCACCAGCAAGCUUGGGGGUUCAGAGGCCGUGUAAUCUAACAAGGAUAGCCCAAAGGGGUAGGGAGAACAUCGGAGACUGUGACGGUUGCCAUAGCAACAUGGUUAGGGCAGGCCGGCCUGGUAGCACCUACAUGAGCAAGGGUCUGCAAAAGUAGACACAGAAAGCAUAGAGUAUUAUUUCCAUGUGAUUCUUGAGUCCAGUAGUUGGGAUAAAAGCAAACAGGAGAUCCCGCAGAGUGCGUUGGAGAAGAAUCCAGAAGGUGGUUGUCUGGGAAACCAACCAGGCUAGAAGAAGCUGGAAUGUUGGUCUGCAAAGGGGAUUGAAGCUGAACACCCGGAGAAGUCGUGCCCACUGAGGGGACUGUGUCAUCUCCAGCACAGCUGGUGACUCUGACCCUGUGUGAGCAUUGGGCAUUCGGUUCCCAGGCUGCUUCUGAAACGUAAGAGAAUGUAAUCUCCCUACGGAGUUGAAACGGGGGACUAUGCAGGCCUUGCAGUGAACCGGGGACAUGGAAACACGUGCAGAGUAAACGAACGAUGUCUGUGCUGGUGUUUGUUGGGAGGUGAGCCGGAAGGAAACUGUUGUGUGAGAGCCAUCUUAUUCUCUGAGAAACGAUUACAGGCUAGGCACGGCAGUGCCUGCAUCCCGGCAUGGGUUAACAAAAUGUAUUUUGUCCCCACCUGUUAAUUCUAAUACCUGAGAGGCUGAGGCAGGACUGAGUUUGAGACCCUGUCUGAAGACAGCACCAACACUGCCAACUACUGAUACCUCAGACUCUGGCUGUGUGGCACGCGAUGAUUUCAUGGGGGAUUGUCUGAAAUAUCUCCAUCUCGCAGAUAAGAGAUUCAAGCAACAGAAAACCGCAUUACAGAAUGCAACGUUAGUUCAUGCCAAAGUCACAACCUUAAGAGACCCUCUGACGUCUCCUCAUGUUUAUUCUCUCCCUACAUGGCUGUCCUGUAGGCCUCUGGUCCUUUGACCUCACUGUGACUCAGAAUCUCUGGGAGAACGUUCCGGAAGCAGAACAAGGGACCAUGAAUGGUGUGCAGUGCUCUCUGGACCGCCUCAGGGACCCCAUCCACUUCUUUCUGGUCAUGCUGGCCCCGAGGCCACAGCAGUUUGGCAUGUCACUUUUCCUCCCCCACGCUGUUUGUGACCCCUGGGCAUGGCUCCAUUUCCUUUAUGCAAGAAGGAGCAAGAGGAAGAAGGCAUCUGGGAAAGGCACUUGGAUGCUUGUACCUUCGAGAUAAGCACCACAUCUCAGCUCUCUGGGCAGCUUAGACCAUCACCCACCAAGUGUCUCCAGCUGUUUUGCGUAUGUCCUGUGGCUUUUCUACAGCUGAGAGCAAAUGUGUCACUUUCUGCCAAUGAUCCUGAGGGCCAAGCGUGACAACUUGAAGGGCACCCAUUAACUGAAGUUAGAACGAUCUUCCUCUCAACUCCUUCAAGGGACUGGUUUGGAUGUUGCCAGUGUCAGGACUGAGGAUGUAGCUCAGUAGGCAGAGGCAGGUGGGUCUCUGAACUCCAGGCCAGCCUGGCUGACAGAGUGAGUUCCAGGACAGCCACUCUUGAGAUAGCCUCUCUCAAGAAAGAAAAACGUUGGGUGUGGUGGGCUAUGCCUGUAAACCCAGCACUUGGGAAACGCGGGUGGGAGGAGUCCUCAGGACUAGGCUUUAGCAGGGGGAAAGGAACUCAGAAUUCUUACAUUUUAAUAGUCACUGGGAGCUUAAACCAAUCAGAAUAUUCUGGCCCAUGUUCUAGCCAGCCAUGCUGGUCUUGAGUUGAAUUUGCCGCUCUUCUGGAAGCAUUCUUUAGUUGAGUGUCUUUCAUGAAGUGAAGCCAUUUGCCGGAGAUGAAAACAAUCUUUGCCUGGCUUACAAACCUUGGGCCAGGUCACAGAUUUUCUGCUCUGGUGGCCAGUGUGGGCGAGCCUCGUUGCAGCAAUCAAGCUAAAGGCCAGCUCUGAGGAAGAGUCUGUGUUGUCUGCAGUGAGCACACGGGGAAUUCUCAUCACCGCUUAGUCAAUACCAAUGCUAGCUUUUGGAGAACAUGAGAAGAAAAGCUGUAUAUCUCUAGACUAAGAUGGUGACUAGCUGGUUUCUAAGGAAGUAUUGGGCUAUACGAGGUCAUCUGGAAAUGAAAACAGUACACCUAGACAUAGAGACCUCUCAGGGUUCACACUGUGCAGAACCUGUCUGCAUGCCAGGAAUAGACUGUAACUUCCAUACCUAGGCAGGUAGGUGGGGACCAGGUGCCAGCCUGGGCUCAUUGACUGGGUUAUGUCCCUCGAGAGGAGAUAAGGAGUCAUCAAGGGGGAGUGAGUCAGGCAUGGCGGUGAGGGGAAUCCUGCAGCUUUGAAUAGCCAGCAAUCAGGUUGCCUCUUUAUUUAUACAGUUUUCACAAACAAAGACAGACUAAUGAUUAAAAGUACAGACUUUA